CAGGCCACUCAGGAUACCAUAAAACUCUAUCUCGAGCUAGAGCUAAUUUUUAUUAGAUGGGCAUGAAGGCUGACAUUAAGAAUUUCAUUAAAGAGUGAUAUUUGCCAAUGCAACAAAAAUGAGACCAUCCACCCCGCAGGUCUUCUCCAACCUUUGCCUAUUCCUACAAAGGUAUGGGCGGAUAUCUCCCUAGAUUUUAUUGAGGGGUUGCCUCUUUGUAAUGGGUUCAAUGUGAUUUUGGUUGUGGUUGAUAGAUUGAGUAAGUAUGCGCAUUUCAUCUCAGUUGCGCAUCCUUAUACAACCACCAAAAUUGCACAGAUUUUUAUUGCCAAUAUUUUUAAACUGCAUGGAAUGCCUACAUCCAUAGUCAGUGACUGAGACCUUAUGUUCACUAGCUUAUUUUGGAAAGAGUUGUUCAAAUUACAUGGGAUUGAGCUCAAAUUUUCGUCGGCUUAUCAUCCCCAAACGGAUGGUCAAAUAGAGAUUGUGAAUAAAUGUGUGGAGCAGUAUUUACGGUGUUUUUCUGGGGAUAAGCCUAAGGAGUGGUCACGCUGGUUGCCUCUUGCAGAAUGGUGGUAUAAUACAAACAUUCAUGCUUCUACUAAACUUUCACCAUUUGAGGUAGUUUACGGAUACCCACUCCUACCUUUGUUGGCUCAUUCGCCAGGGACAGCUGCAGUUCAGUUUGUGGAAGAUACCCUGAGGAGCCGUGAUCAUAUCUUGCGCCUAUUACGUGGAAACCCACAGGUGGCCCAAGAGAGGAUGAAGCGUUUUGCAGAUUUAAAACAUACUGAACGACAUUUUGAAGUGGGAGAUUGGGUCUACCUUCGUCUCCAACCAUAUAAAUAACAUUCGGUUAUGCAGCGUAAAAAUCUCAAGCUUUCUCCCAGAUUUUAUGGACCCUAUCAGAUAGAAGAGCGGAUUGGUGGUGUUGCUUAUCGUUUGAACCUUCCCUCCACCUCCCUCUUUCAUCCCGUGUUUCAUGUUUCAGUUUUGAAGAAGAAGCUUGGUGCUUGAAAUUUGCUGGUGACUACUAUUCCUCCAUUAACUGUUGGAGGUGGUCCACAAGCUGAGCCUGAAGAAAUCUUGCAGCGACACCUAAAAAAGAAGAAUGGACACGCUGUCAGUGAGCUGUUGGUUAAAUGGAAGGGGCUGGAGGUCGAUGACGCCUCCUGGGUUGAAUUUCAUAAGCUGCAAAAAGACUUCCCUGACCUUGAGGGCAAGGUCUUCUGAUGGAGGAGGGAUUGUCAUGGGUCUAUUAAGAUGUGGCCUUGGGUGAUAUGGACAAGGGUCUUGGAAACAUGGGGUUGCUAUGUAGUUAAUUAUUUGGUUGUUACGUUAGAAUGUUUUAUGCAGUCAUUAUUAAUUUGGGGUUGUUAAUUUGACCUGAUCGUGGGUCUUGAGAAAAUAGGACUGUUAUGUAGUAAUUAAUUGGAAGUUAUGUUGAAGUCCGUUAUAGAGUAGUAUUAAUUAUGGGUUGUUAAUUGUUGCUUAAUUUCAGUAAUUGUUUUGCUAUUUAAGUUGCAAGAUUUAAUAAGAAUGCAAGCAGAAUUUUAUCUAUACAUAGUACUGGGAGGACUUAGCCUCCUCAGAAUGGCUAUUCAAUUAUCCUUUACUGAUUAGUUUAUUAGACUUUGGUGAGGUGCCUUUAGAUGAGGGAUUGAGCAUUCCUCUGUUAAGAUUGAAGAAAUUGUAGGCUCUUUUGAGAAUAUUACUGUUAACGUUUCUAGUCGAGGCACUGAUGUUGAGAGGUUAGAUACAGCAAUUGCCAAGGGUAAGUUAUUGUAAUGUCAAGUUUUUGACCUUUCUAAUUUACAAAUUUAACAUUAUUCCAUCUAUUAUGCAUUUCAAUAAAGGAUUCACAUAAAGAUGGAGCACGUAAGCUUACAACAACAAUUGGCAGACAAUUUAAGGAUUCCCUUAUGCUUGUAGUUUUGAAGAAAGGACUCCAGCAGUGUUGAGAGGAGUCCACGUGACAAUGUUGUGGAGUUGAAAGCUUUUGAAAUGUUAUCAGUUAUACUUGGAGAUUCUCACAAGUUAUGAAAAUCUCAAGGGUCUUAUGUUGCUCUGGGUCACCACCUUCACUAGAAUAUGGGUGGAUAGUGCUGCUAACUCAGAGGUUGGUUAUGUUCCAUAGAUAUGGCGGAUUUGUUGUGUGAGCUUAUGUUCAGUUGUUGAAGCGCCUCCAUGUUUGCUUGAUUGAAAAUAAAAAUAGUACCAUUUUCUUGUCAUGUAUAGGAUAUACAAUCUGUUAGCUUUUGUGUUUUAGUUAGAUAUGCCCUAUAGAAUCUAGGUAAUGCAGAUGCAAACUUUAAUCCUGUAGUUCUUUGAGUCCUUCAGGAUUUGUAAAAUGUUUCCCUUGGUCAA